UACGGAGGGGGCUAGCGUUGUUCGGAAUUACUGGGCGUAAAGCGCACGUAGGCGGCUUUGUAAGUUAGAGGUGAAAGCCCAGAGCUCAACUCUGGAACUGCCUUUAAGACUGCAUCGCUUGAAUUGUGGAGAGGUAAGUGGAAUUCCGAGUGUAGAGGUGAAAUUCGUAGAUAUUCGCAAGAACACCAGUGGCGAAGGCGGCUCACUGGCCCGGUACUGACGCUGAGGUGCGAAAGCGUGGGGAGCAAACAGG
rnacentral:rRNA from 1 species